AAGACCUUGCGCUUUUGGAGCGGCCGAUGCCUGAUUAGCUUGUUGGUAAGGUAAAAGCUUACCAAGGCUUCGAUCAGUAGCUGGUCUGAGAGGACGGCCAGCCACUGGGACUGAGACACGGCCCAGACUCCUACGGGAGGCAGCAGUGGGGAAUUUUGGACAAUGGGGGCAACCCUGAUCCAGCCAUGCCGCGUGAGUGAAGAAGGCCUUCGGGUUGUAAAGCUCUUUCAGCCGGAACGAAACGGUUACGGUUAAUACCCGUGACUACUGACGGUACCGGAAGAAGAAGCACCGGCUAACUACGUGCCAGCAGCCGCGGUAAUACGUAGGGUGCGAGCGUUAAUCGGAAUUACUGGGCGUAAAGCGUGCGCAGGUGGUUUUGUAAGUCAGAUGUGAAAGCCCCGGGCUCAACCUGGGAACU
rnacentral:rRNA from 1 species